UACGGAGGGUGCAAGCGUUAUCCGGAUUUACUGGGUUUAAAGGGUGCGUAGGCGGGCCCUUAAGUCAGUGGUGAAAGCUCCGAGCUUAACUCGGAAACUGCCAUUGAUACUAUAGGUCUUGAAUUCGGUCGAGGUUGGCGGGAUGUGUCGUGUAGCGGUGAAAUGCUUAGAGAUCGGAAAGAACACCAACGGCGAAAGCACUCUGCUGGGCCGACACUGACACUGAGAGACGAAAGCUAGGGGAGCGAAUGGG
rnacentral:rRNA from 1 species